AGUGAUGGAGCGAUUGGCAAACCCAGGUGUUAGACGGCUAAUCAUUGUGGAAGCAGGCAGUAAACGUGUAGAAGGCAUUGUUACACUGAGUGACAUCUUCAAAUUCUUGCUUGGAUAAGUUCAAAUUGACCGACCACAGAAGUUGUAACUUGAAAGGGAUUGGUACAGUGAUUUUAUGACACUCCUGGUAUAUUUUAUUGCAGCAUUACCUGCCUUGUUCCGAGGAGACUGCAGUAGUAUCCACGGUCACAUUGAUCUCAUUUCCUUGAAAUCAACCAUUGGAUUGGCCUCUUGUUUGGUUGCCUAUUUUUAGAAUCAGGCUAAAAGAGGGGCAUGCAAUUUGAGAGUUGAUUAUGUCCUGAUUCUCUAAUUUGUUUAUCUCCUCCUUUACUUAUUAUUACAAAGAACUUUGAGCCAUUGGUGUAAAUUACUAAAUUUCAUGUGGGGAGCAGCAUGAAAGUUGUAACAGUUGUAUGUUUCUGCUGCUAAGUGGCGAAGGGAGGGAGGAGGAACAUUAAAUGAAUAUUCUCUCCUAUGCUUCAUUAGUAUGUGAUUGGCCUUUAGAAAAUUGGAAGGGGUUGUAACUGGCUUUUUCCCCCUUCUUAUUGAUGUUUACUGAUUGAAGCUUUAUGCUAGCAGGAGAAAGUUAAUGCUUACGUUCAGUUCUUGUUCA
rnacentral:misc_RNA from 1 species